rnacentral:rRNA from 1 species
UACGUAGGGGGCUAGCGUUGUCCGGAAUCAUUGGGCGUAAAGCGCGCGUAGGCGGCCCGGUAAGUCCGCUGUAAAAGUCAAAGGCUCAACCUUUGAAUGUCAGUGGAUACUGCCGGGCUAGAGUCCGGAAGAGGCGAGUGGAACUCCUGGUGUAGCGGUGGAAUGCGCAGAUAUCAGGAAGAACACCGACGGCGAAGGCAGCCCCCCUGGGAUAACACUGACGCUCAUGCACGAAAGCGUGGGGAGCAAACAGG